ACGCUCGACACCUACGGGAAGCAGCAGUUAGGAAUAUUGGGCAAUGGAGGGAACUCUGACCCAGCAACGCCGCGUGAAGGAAGAAGGUUUUCGGACUGUAAACUUCUGAUCUAAGGGAAAAAGAAAGUGAUGGUACCUUAGGAGAAAGCCACGGCUAACUACGUGCCUGCAGCCGCGGUAAUCUGAGCGGGCUGGCAAGGC
rnacentral:rRNA from 1 species